rnacentral:lncRNA from 1 species
CAAGAUAUUGUUUGAAGCGAUUGAUCCCACCACCAGCAAAUGACUUUCCAUAAUACAAGCAUGCCAACUUCAUCCUUUUGGUAUUACCACUAAGUUCAGGAGCUUCUCUACAAUGAUUCCAUGCAGGAUCACUUUUACCUCUAACCCUAGUUAUUUGAGUGGAUGAAGUAUUACUUGAAUCAUCCAUGGAUGGCAUACUUCCCUCAACA